rnacentral:rRNA from 1 species
GACUUGACAUCUCGAGAAUCUUGCCUAAUAGCAAGAGUGCCUUCGGGAACUCGAAGACAGGUGGUGCAUGGCUGUCGUCAGCUCGUGUCGUGAGAUGUUGGGUUAAGUCCCGCAACGAGCGCAACCCUCGUUCUUAGUUGCCAGCAUUAAGUUGGGCACUUUAGGAAGACUGCCGGUGACAAACCGGAGGAAGGUGGGGAUGACGUCAAGUCAGCAUGCCCCUUACGUUCUGGGCUACACACGUACUACAAUGGUUGGGACAAAGGGCAGCAAGCUCGCAAGAGUUAGCGAAUCUCAUCAAACCCAGCCUCAGUUCAGAUUGCAGGCUGCAACUCGCCUGCAUGAAGGAGGAAUCGCUAGUAAUCGCAGGUCAGCAUACUGCGGUGAAUUCGUUCCCGG